AAUCUUUGUUGUGGGCACCUCUGCAAAAGGUCCUUGAAAUGCUCCCAUGUGUCAAACAAUGAUUCCAAUUCCAUCUGCACGAACAAGGAUAUCUCAUUGCGAAGUGU